CACACACACACACCAACCUUCAGUCUAACAUCUGACGUCCGUGCGUACACAAGGGAGGGACUAUACGCUCGUCUCCUGACAUCUACGCACGCCUCUUUCCCCCUCCCCCUCCCCCCUCUCCCCUCCUCGAAAAAGAAAACGAAAGAAAAAAAAUCUCAUCGUAACGGGACACAACUAUUCAUCAGAGCAAAUACAGAAAAAAAGAAAUAACAACAAAAUAUUCCGAUGCUUCGUAACUCGACGAAUCUGACGAACUAAAAGAAGAAAAAGAGGAGAAAGAAGAAGAAAAAGAAGAAGAAGAAGAAGAGGGAGGAGGAGGGCGUGGUUAUCAGACUAACAGCCUCCUUUCAUUCUUCCUUUCCUCUCCCUCCUUCCUUCCCUUCCCUCCACUCUAGCUCCUCCUCCUCCUCCUCCUCCUCCCAGUCGUCGUCUAGCCUUCGUCUACCUCGCGUCUGUCUGUCUGUUCGCCUCUCUGUGAAGGAAGAGAAAGAGUGAUAAGCGAAGGAGUUACGAAGGAAAAACAGAAAGAAAUGAAGGAAGAAGGAAAACAAGACAAUAACACAAUAACAAGAUAACUGGUGCGAGUAUAGGAAAGCAGAAAAAAGAGGAAGAAAAGCAAGAUAAGAAAGAAAAAAGAAAGACGAGUAGAAAGAAAGACUAGAAAGGAAAGGAAAGAAAGCACUCAAGGAAAAUACAAUAGUGUGGAAGAAUAAAAAAGAAAAGAAAGGAAAAGAAUCAGGAAAGAGAGAAGAAAAUACAACGAAUGAAAAAAUAGAAACAAAAUGAAAGAGGUAAAGAGAGAAGAGUAGAAAUAAAAUAUAAAUAAAAAGGAAAAUAAAGAAAAAGAAAAAACAGUAAAAAUAAAGAAAGUGAAACAAAAAAAAGGUCAAGAAAACAGAAUAAAGGAAAUAAAGAAAAUAAGUAAAGGAAAGUUAACGAGAGAGAGAGAGAGAGAGAGAGAGAGAGAGAGAGAGAGAGAGAGAGAGAGAGAGAGAGGAGGAAAAAAAGUAAAUGAAAGUGA